GCUAGGUUACUAUCUAGUAAUCCUCUUGCUUAUCUUGGGCUUCUGGUAUUUUCAAUUCCAUUUAGUGAGGGUUGGAGCUACUCUGAUGUGUCUAGUUCUGUAAUAUAUUAAAAGUCUAGCCAAAAAGAGGUGGCUAUUCAUUAUAAGCGGGAGCUAAGUGUUUAAAAAAACACAUGCAAUGAGAGAAAUAGACCAAAUCAUCAGGAAGGACAGUGUCAGAAAACUUUGUCUGACUUAUUUUAAUUCCUUUUUUUAACUAUCUGACUGCAUGUUCUCAAUAAAUGAGAAGGGUCAUUCAUCCAUUGAGGCAGGCAGGAAGUCACUAUAUAUAUUUUACACAGGGAAUUGAAAUGGAAGACCUCAAGAAGAGGAGACUCAGUC
rnacentral:lncRNA from 1 species